rnacentral:rRNA from 1 species
UACAGAGGGGGCAAGCGUUGUUCGGAAUUACUGGGCGUAAAGGGCGCGUAGGCGGUUCGAUAAGUCCCGUGUGAAAUCCCUCGGCUCAACUGAGGAAUGGCACGGGAAACUGACGGGCUUGAGUUCGGGAGAGGGAAGCGGAAUUCCGGGUGUAGCGGUGAAAUGCGUAGAUAUCCGGGAGGAACACCGGUGGCGAAGGCGG